CUAUUUAUCUUCGUCAAAAGUUUGGCAUGAUUUCUCCAAAUGAGAUUAUUAUCUUGUGUUAUUUCAUCAAAUGAUACAGGUAUUGCCUCAAAACAAAAGAUUUUGGGAUUUAAUUUGGUUACGAUACCCAAUUCUGAAUAGUUUUUUUGUUCGCUCCUUAACCUCUGGAGAUUCAUGUUCUACUGUAGUUGGAGUUUCUCUGACCACUUCAGAUUUAACCUGGUAGCUUAUUUUGCCGUGAUAUCUCUUCACCUCAGUUGUCUUAUGUCUCUGCUAACUUACAACUCUAUGUUAACAGGUGGUUAUGGAGUCGCCACUGGGGACCACUGGCUUGGGGUUUGUGCUAUAACAAGGAAAUGAGUCCGAGCCAAGAUUACUGUGAUGAUUACUUCAAAUUAACCUACCCAUGCACUCCUGGAGCUCAAUAUUAUGGUCAUGGUGCCUUGCCUAUCUACUGAUACCUGAAGGAGAAUUGAAUGCAAAUCAGGAGAAGAUCUACAAAGUGAAUAUAUUCAUGAUCAACUUAAAGAGUUUGAGCUGCAUGAUCGUGUUGGAAAUUCAUAUUGUAGAAGUUAGAAUUGUUAGUCCAUUCUCAGCAGGUGAAUCCUGGUACUAUUAAUGUGGCCUUCACAAAACACACUCAAUGUCAAGUCCGAAAAAACAUGGGGAUUGCAAUAGCUUGAUGGGCAGAUCUUGAUAGAUCAAGUGCCUAUGUGCAAGGAUUCAUAUAUGUGCAUGCCCGUCAAUUGCGCUUCAAUACGUAAGGAAGUGGAAGAAAAUUAUGCAAGUGUGAAUCAUACAAUUCAGGUUGAGAUGAAAAAAACUUCAUUUAACAACUGUUUUAUUCUUCGAGUCAAUAAGCAAAAGGAGGACUAGAUUGGAGUGUGUUUUCGCACCUGAUAGUUUGGUACAAAAAUACUUUUAUAUUGUUUGGUUAACUCAAGCCUUUGAGGUUGUCUUUGUAAUGUGCAAUGUGGACUGCUAUAGCCACAAAUCAUGGUUCUUUAGGUGUUGUUUUAGUUUGCAGUUGUGCCAAAGUAAUGUUUCAUUCCAACAAUCAUUACUUGGACAAGUGAUGGCAACUUACAAUUAUGUUCUAUUGUGAUGCUAUAUUGUAAGCAAGACAAGGCUAUCCGGGAAUCAAAUAAAAAUUACAUCCUGCAUUUGUAUUUA